rnacentral:rRNA from 1 species
UUUUCCCUACGGGGCGCAGCAGUGGGGAAUAUUGCACAAUGGGGGGAACCCUGAUGCAGCGACGCCGCGUGAGCGAUGAAGUAUUUCGGUAUGUAAAGCUCUAUCAGCAGGGAAGAAAAUGACGGUACCUGACUAAGAAGCCCCGGCUAACUACGUGCCAGCAGCCGCGGUAAUACGUAGGGGGCAAGCGUUAUCCGGAUUUACUGGGUGUAAAGGGAGCGUAGACGGCUGUGCAAGUCUGGAGUGAAAGGCAUGGGCUCAACCUGUGGACUGCUUUGGAAACUGUGCGGCUUGAGUGUCGGAGG